UAUUUAAAAAAAGAUGUAUAAAAAAAAUACCUCAACAAUAGUAAUAUGAAAAUUAUUCAAAACCAUCAGUUGUAUGGAUAUUGUCCACAGAAAGAGCAAUUAUAAAUGAUUGGAAAAGUAAUUGCGAGGAAACCGACAAACAUUGCGAAGUUCGUGACUAUCUUUGCUUACGCAUACGUGCGAAGUUCAUGCUCUUUCUUAUCCUAUCAUCAUUAUCAUCGUAGUAAACUGUUGCCGCAGUUACUUCCUUGUAAGCCUUUAUUGGCGGUAGCGAAUGGCAGCACACAAAUAAGCAACUUCUCUUAUCAAGGACCUAAGCAUGAGUCAUGUUCUGAGUUCUUGCUAAAAACGUUAACAGCGAGGCUAAUGCCCGUCGAAUACAAAUGGUAGAGAGCUGUUUUGGCAGCUCAGGGCAACCAUUGUAUGUUCCAGGCCGAGUGCUGGUAGGAGAAGGCGUUCUAACGAAGAUGUGUCGCAAACGUCCCAAGGCGCGACAAUUUUUCCUAUUCAAUGACAUCCUGGUCUACGGGAACAUAGUUAUCGGCAAAAAGAAAUAUAACAAACAACAUCUGAUACCGCUGGAAGAGGUACAACUGCAAGCCCUCGAAGAUAAUGGACAGUACAGGAACGGCUGGCUAAUACGAACCGCUACGAAAUCGUUUGCCGUCUAUGCAGCUACACAAACGGAAAAACAAGAAUGGAUGGCACAUAUAAAUAAAUGCAUCGAAGAUUUGUUACGAAAAAGUGGUAAAAAACCGGUGGAAAACCACGCAGCCGUUUGGGUGCCCGAUAGUGAAGCAAACAUAUGCAUGCAUUGCAAGAAAACUCAAUUCACAAUGCUGAUUCGAAGGCAUCACUGUCGAAAUUGCGGUGCUGUGGUCUGUGGGCCAUGUUCUUCGAAGAAAUUCCUUCUACCAGGACAGAGCAGCAAACCGUUGCGCGUUUGUUUGGACUGCUUCGAUAACCUUAGCUCUAUGAAAAGGGAGGAGAACAAGGGAUUAAACGCCAAUAACAACAAGCCUGUUACGUCCCCAGAAAGCUCUGGUGAUGAUGAUUCGGACGAUGAAGAAGAACCGAAAGAAUCACAUGAUCAGAGCUUUCGAAGUCACUGUACGCCAGCAGUCGUGUGUGUAUGAUAGGAGCAAGCAUCGUGUAAAACCGACAGUCGAAUAAAGAAACCACUCCGCUUCAUUCGCCACGUUCUGAAUCCUUGAUAACGAAAAAUCGAAGCAGCAGGAGCCGGCAAGCCUAGUGAUAUACUUAAAAAAUUUAUAAUAUGUUUUCGUUAGAACAGCCUGAAACAAGGUGACCAAAGUUGACCUACACCAAAAUUCUAUGGUGACGAAAAACCAGAAAAAUAGCCGUAGUGACGCGGAAAAGCAAUCCUCCCACAAAAGAAGCCAGAUUCGCAAAGAAGUCUCACCAAUAGUAAAUUAUAAGUGAAUAAAACAUAAUUUAUUCAUUAUAAAACCCCGCAAGAACAGUCCAGAUAAAUGUAAAACGAAUUUUAAAACUAUUCUCAUUCUACUUUCCUUUAUUGCAUUACCUUGAAAGCAUAUAUCGAAUAUAUCAACAGCUGAUAAUUACUUACAGAGAAAACCAUUUAUUAGUUGAAAUAUCUUCGUGAAUUAAUAAGAUAAGAUCGACACAUUUGUGUUUUAUAGUCUACCGUAAACACCUUUUCAAACAUUGUAGAGAAAGAAUAAAUUCUACAGAAACAAGAACAAACUAUUUGGGGUACAAAGUAUGUCCUGUGAUCCACUUCUCCGAAAAAAAGAAUGUAAAUGGUAUUCAGUUAGAUACCACAGUUAUUAGAAAUCUAUUUUGAACUGUUAUUCGAUCACAUCGUGGAUUGUGGAUAGAACGAAGCUUUUCACAUCUUUCCGUUUCAGCAGUUUUAGAAAAGUUGAAAAUGAUUAUUACUAGAUGAUAAACGAAAGAUCCAAGCAUGAUACAACAGGUCUACAGAAUCGUUAUUGUAAUAUCGGAAUUCAGUCGACAACUUGUCUCGACUCGCAAUGAGCCUAGAUCUUCAAUCAGAAUAUUAUAAUUUUUAUUUUUAUUCCUAUGGUAAGUAAAUCGGAUAAAAGAUGUAUAUGGAAUAUAUUUAAGCUUAUCAAUGAAAUAUAAAAAAUUGCUCACAUUUUCAAAA